GCUGUGUUUGCAGGCAUUGUGGUUGUAGUUAUGACUGGUGUGGUUCUGAUGGCUGGGGUUGUGGCAUCUAUG